AGGGAUGAAACACAAGACUGGCGCUUCUGAUGAGGUAACAAUAAUUUAAUUGUGCAACAGCAUUGGAAUAUUAAGCAUGGUAAUAAAUUUUGGGUCGAUUCAAAGUGGCAAUUUUGCAGUUUGUAGUGAUGAUCUAGAUUGUCACAUUAGCAUUUCAUACAUCUAAAUUAUGCCUUAGUUUGCAAUGAAUAGAAUAAUCAGUACCUUCAAAUAGUAGUUAUCAACCUCCAAGCUAAGAAAGUCCCUGCCAUCCAUAGUGUUCCUCUUCCAACUAAUUUUUUUGAAAACGGAAGAUUUACUAAUUUCAAGUUCAUUACGUAUAGAUGAUACAAAGACCUUGAAGCACUCACUGCCUCUGCAUAUCCAGAAUACACACAGCCUUAUGAAGAGGACACGAAGACACUCCCGAACGACACUCAAUCAUUCGACUAGACUACCACCUAUGUGCCUACAUAAAAAACUCCUUAGCUAUGCACCAAUUGUUGAGUAGCCACUGCAACCAAAUCUUCC
rnacentral:lncRNA from 1 species